rnacentral:lncRNA from 1 species
UACUUACGAGUUCUUAGGGAUUCAUCGAGUUAAUCUUGACGAGUUCUCGAGUUCCGCGUGAAUACCUCUUGGCCGUGACAUCCGGGCGCAUCGCUGUUGUUGGGACCAAAGUGUUCAAGUUAUCACCUUUGUCGAUUGCAAGGUCAAAUCGGCUGGCAUGCCUUAACGUUGAAUCAGGUAUUAGUCCUUUGUGUUUGCAUAUCUACUAGCAAGGAGAGCUUGUCUCUUAGAAGAAAGGAUCUUAUUGGUAUGAGUAAUAUUCAAUCUUCUUCCAUGAGCAAGUUCUAUUCAUCUUUAUAUGAUUAUGCAUAUGAACUAGAGUAUGGUUGUGUUCUUAUCAUGUUCAUAGUAUAUGAACUAGUUCUUAGUUCUUGUGCUAUGUUCUUGAUAUGUUCAUCAUUGUUCUUCAUUGUUCAUCAUAUUAGUAUGAUUAGGAUUAAAAUUAGGAAUGGGAUGAUGGUUCACUGUGCUGUGACGGUUGCUCUUAGCCUAGCCUGUCACUCCGAAGGGGUGGGGCCCGUGGGGCUUAGGAGUUGUUUCCAGUUACGUGAACAUGGUGUUUAGGUAUGCGGGAAUCAGUGGAUGUGCGGGUAUCUUUCAGGUAGAGGGGUAGGUGGAAGGGUAGUGACAGCUCUGUCAUCCUUUGCAUUCCCCCACAAUCAGGUAUUCCAAUAGGAGUUCUGUAAAGUCUCUAUCGGCUAGGUAUCCAGCUGCAGGUAUCUCCCCUCAUCUUAGGCUUAGUUCUAACUCUAUUUAUUGCUAAUUAUAUGAUCCGCUAAUAGUUCUAUGCAUAGUUAUAUGUGACCCAUGCCUGCUCAAAUAGAUUUAUUUCUUUAUUCUUUAUUUAUUAUUUUUUUAUAUUUUAUCCUUGAGGUUGAUCCAAUGUGUGUCCACUAUCUUGAAUAUCAUGUUUAUUCUUGUUUACUCUAUGUCUACCAAGCAUUCAAUGAGCAAUCAUGUUUACACCAUGUUUGAUCCCUUUGCCUUCCUACGAGAAUUAUAAAUUCGACACCAUUGAAUACUCACGGGUUGAAAUGGUACAAUGAUAGUUCUGUCCGCUUAGAAUUAUAUUACUUCUUCAUUCAUGAACUAUCGAUUGGCGUACCUAAGUACCGUUACUUAAGAUUGUAAUCCUUGUGCACUUUCAAGCAUAGUGCCACAGCUUUGCAUAUCGCAAGUAAGGAUAGUUAGGAAGGCCAAUCCGGCAUUCCUAAUUAUUGUUACUAGACUGCACUGCUAAGGCCGGCACCCUCGAGUUGCCUUGGGUUAUCUCUCUGAUGUAGCGGUAGUUACGGUAUGCCAACACCCGACAUUUCUGGUGUCAUUGCCAAGGAUGGAUCUAUGGUCUAUUUUUAGUAAUGACGCUAAGAAAUGCCAACAGUAGCUUCCGUGCAGCCUCGAAACAACUCCUUCCUAGCCUCUUGUAGCAAUUUAAAGAACCUCGUUGCCAUCUCAUUUGGCUGUUCAUCAUCGAUUUCUCCACGGAUAGUACCCCUGAUCAAUGAAUGUAUCAAAUCCUGGGUAGCAACCCUAUCAUCAACUCCAUCAUCCAUAUCAAUAUCUGAAUCUUCACGUAUACUUUCCUGCUCUCGGAUGAAGCUUUCAUCAAAACCUUUCCGAAGCUGAUGCUUCUGGACAUCCGAAUGCUUUCUAAAUGACAUGGAACGACAUGCUGAUCAUUGACAUGGUGCCGUUCCACCUUUAGAGCUACCUGCAAAGAUGCUAUCAAGAUACUCCGAUAAUCCCUAUUGCCAUUCUGUAGAUGCCCUAUCUAGCCCCAUCCAACUACUGCCAUGGUGUGACAUCAAUUCAAAAACCUGACAAGCACACACGAAGAUAAAUAAGAACGAGCUACGGAUUCAAAACAUACGCAAAUUAAAUAGCAAUG